UGGGGGAUAUUGCACAAUGGGGGAAACCCUGAUGCAGCGACGCCGCGUGGAGGAAGAAGGUUUUCGGAUUGUAAACUCCUGUCGUUAGGGACGAUAAUGACGGUACCUAACAAGAAAGCACCGGCUAACUACGUGCCAGCAGCCGCGGUAAAACGUAGGUGGCAAGCGUUAUCCGGAUUUACUGGGUGUAAAGGGCGCGUAGGCGGGGAUGCAAGUCAGAUGUGAAAUCUAUGGGCUCAACCCAUAAACUGCAUUUGAAACUGUAUCUCUUGAGUGUCGGAGAGGUAGAUGGAAUUCCUAGUGUAGCGGUGAAAUGCGUAGAUAUUAGGAGGAACACCAGUGGCGAAGGCGAUCUACUGGACGAUAACUGACGCUGAGGCGCGAAAGCGUGGGGAGCAAAC
rnacentral:rRNA from 1 species